GACUCUGCUGUCUCCCCCUCACUCUCUUAAUGCGGCCGCAUGCUUCCCAACUGAAAAAGUUUGCUACACAAGUUUCUGCUUCAUGUUGAUUCAACCCGAAACUCAGUGUGGAUUCAACAUGGCUAAUGACAACUUCGAGCAUCGAUUGACCGAGGACGUACAAAAGUACCUUCACAAGUACGAUUAUAGCCAUGAAUUAUGUAAAGACCUGCAUUAAAUGCCAAUUCGUGUAGGGUUUGCGACAAGUUCGUCAUGGCAAAGAAAAGAAGCAAGGGCCACAGUGGAGAUGCUGGUGGAAAGGCUACUCAAGAAAUUCCUUGUUCAGCACAUGAUGCAUGGGAAGACUGAAAGCAACAUGCUGUCUUCACCAAAGGAUGGGGCACAAACAUGAGUGAAUGGAAACAGCACCUGGUUUUGUUCUCUGUGCCCCAGCACUGCCUGUUCACCAGUCCCAAGCACUACUUCUGCCCCCAGUAGAUUGGUGAUUGGCCCCCAGCUCAUCUCCUGCACUGAGAUGCAGUGCAGAAUUAGAAAUAAUCUUCAUGCUGAACCUGGGAAGCUCUAUCCUGGGCCCACCUCCAAGACCUACUCCACUGUCUUGCUCCUCACCGACGCCUCAGAGCAACAGCAGUAGUAGCAGGUGUGUGAGAAGGGAGAAAAGGGCUGCAGACUCAGUUAUUGACAUGUCACUCGUAAAGGCAAGACAUAUCUCAAGAUCUGGAGAACGUCAUGUACCGAGCCACCAGCUUGUCCCAGAGGGUCCUGGCACCUAUUGCUGAUUUCAUGGAUGAACUCUCGCCAAAACUCUGGGAGGAAUUCAAUCACCAGCUGCAUGAGUUCAUGCAUGACUUCAAGAAGAGGACAUGGACUGAACGACUGGGACCACAGUGAAAUUAACAACUUGUUCUGUUGUUAUUCAGACAUUUCUGGACUCAGACACUAGACACUUUCAUUGUGUUUCAUGGACACUUUUGCUGUUUACAUGUCUGUUCAUAGCAGACACUGUUGUACUAUUGCUCAGAAAGAUUUGACACUACACUCUGGCACUUACAUUUGAUUCCAUAGACACUUGUUUGCAUGUCUUUUCUCAGCAGACACGUUCUAUUACAGUUUAUUUUUAGAAGCAAGAAUAAAGGUUGAU